rnacentral:rRNA from 1 species
UACGUAGGGGGCAAGCGUUGUCCGGAAUUAUUGGGCGUAAAGCGCGCGCAGGCGGUCUCUUAAGUCUGAUGUGAAAGCCCACGGCUCAACCGUGGAGGGUCAUUGGAAACUGGGGGACUUGAGUACAGAAGAGGAAAGUGGAAUUCCACGUGUAGCGGUGAAAUGCGUAGAUAUGUGGAGGAACACCAGUGGCGAAGGCGACUUUCUGGUCUGUAACUGACGCUGAGGCGCGAAAGCGUGGGGAGCAAACAGG